UACGGGGGGUGCUAGCGUUAUUCGGAAUCAUUGGGCUUAAAGCGCGCGUAGGCGGCCUUGUAAGUGUCUUGUGAAAUCCCACGGCUCACCCGUGGAACUGCAGGGCAAACUGCAAGACUUGAGGUCGGUAGAGGCGCCUGGAACUCUAGGUGGAGCGGUGAAAUGCGUAGAUAUCUAGGGGAACGCCGGAGGCGAAAGCGGGGCGCUGGGCCGAUUCUGACGCUGAUGCGCGAAAGCGUGGGGAGCAAACAGG
rnacentral:rRNA from 1 species